rnacentral:rRNA from 1 species
AACGAACGCUGGCGGCAUGCCUAACACAUGCAAGUCGAACGAGAUCUUCGGGUCUAGUGGCGCACGGGUGCGUAACGCGUGGGAAUCUGCCCUUUGGUCCGGAAUAACAGUUGGAAACGACUGCUAAUACCGGAUGAUGACGAAAGUCCAAAGAUUUAUCGCCAGAGGAUGAGCCCGCGUAGGAUUAGCUAGUUGGUGUGGUAAAGGCGCACCAAGGCGACGAUCCUUAGCUGGUCUGAGAGGAUGAUCAGCCACACUGGGACUGAGACACGGCCCAGACUCCUACGGGAGGCAGCAGUGGGGAAUAUUGGACAGUGGGCGAAAGCCUGAUCCAGCAAUGCCGCGUGAGUGAUGAAGGCCUUAGGGUUGUAAAGCCCUUUUACCCGGGAUGAUAAUGACAGUACCGGGAGAAUAAGCUCCGGCUAACUCCGUGCCAGCAGCCGCAGUAA